UACGUAGGGGGCAAGCGUUGUCCGGAAUUAUUGGGCGUAAAGCGCGCGCAGGCGGCAUUGUAAGUCUGUUGUUUAAACGCGGGGCUCAACCUCGCGUCGCAAUGGAAACUGCAAGGCUUGAGUGCAGAAGAGGAAAGUGGAAUUCCACGUGUAGCGGUGAAAUGCGUAGAGAUGUGGAGGAACACCAGUGGCGAAGGCGACUUUCUGGGCUGUAACUGACGCUGAGGCGCGAAAGCGUGGGGAGCAAACAGG
rnacentral:rRNA from 1 species